UGAGGCUCCUUGCUGCCCUUCCUACCUUUCCUGCCAUGGCCGCCCGAGGUGAGGGAAGGGAAGGGAAGGGAAGGGAAGGGAAGGGCUGAUCCUCCCCCCGUCUGCGAAGACGGGGGCGGUGGGGUUUCUCUGCCCCCCCCCCCGCGUCUCUCGCUCCCGCCAACCCCCGGGCUGGUGGCCCUGGCCCCUCCGUGGAAGUCUGGGCAGAGAUGCCGCCUCCAGCGGAGAGGCCCCAGGAGGCCGGGCGGGCCUUGCCGCAGAUCUCACGUGCAUGUGCAAAGCGCCUUGGCUUGUGGGCUUGCCUUGGAUGGGGGCGGGGGUCCUCCCUUCCUGACCCCCCCCCCGCCCGCACCAGGAAUCAGACGCAGGGCUCGGCUUUCAUGGGCGCAGAGGCCACGUUGGAAAGCGUACUUAACAUGCCCUCCUUAUGGCACUUUUCGCCUUCAUAUGGUCCAGAUCUUCCUUUGGCCAGCGUGCCUAAGAGACCAACGCUGUCAAAAUCAUCUGUUUGCCAUCUCAAGGACCAUCGCUGAGAGAUCAUUUCCAGUGUGAAGGUUCUGGCUAUGGAAGAGAUCACAGGACUGGGGUUGACUGCUCCAGGACCCCGGAGACAACGAACGUGCACUUGAUAUCCCAGAGCGUUCGUCAGAGAAACGACAAGCAUCAGACAGUGAUCGGCGACAUGAUCUCUGCUGGAGGUGGAGAGCGGCAGACCGAUUCAUGCAAAGGAGAUGCUGGCAGUCCCGUCAUUCGUGAGGCCGACGCCAGGAAGGAGCUGUGUGGAACCGUAAGCGGGGCGCUAGCUGUGCCGAGAAGGAGAAACCCAGAGUCUAAACAAGGGUCCCAUGGGUCGAAUCACACGUGAACGGGGCCCGCUUCAGGACCCACCGCCCUCCUGAAUGAACACGGGAACUUUCUUUGCAGGCUGCUGGGCGACUCCUUGAAAGUGAGCAAAUGAAUGUCACGGUGUCGAGCCAGUUUUGGAGCCGAUUUUUCCUCGGUGGUUAUUUUUGCAGCUUCUCAUGUCAUUCUGUCUGGGGUGAAAAUCUUCAGCCGUCGCUGAAACAAAACUUGUCCCACUGAAAAACAGGACCAUAUCUAAAAUUUGAAUGGGAGCUGCUCUGUCGGUCCAUCCGAUGUGUGCCACUGUAUCUCUAGAAAUUAGUAUUAAAUCAUGGUGUGAGGUUUU